rnacentral:rRNA from 1 species
UACAGAGGUCUCAAGCGUUGUUCGGAUUCAUUGGGCGUAAAGGGUGCGCAGGCGGCGCGGUAAGUCGGGUGUGAAAUCUCGGAGCUUAACUCCGAAACUGCAUUCGAUACUGCCGUGCUUGAGGACUGGAGAGGAGACUGGAAUUUACGGUGUAGCGGUGAAAUGCGUAGAUAUCGUAAGGAAGACCAGUGGCGAAGGCGGGUCUCUGGACAGUUCCUGACGCUGAGGCACGAAGGUCAGGGGAGCAAACGGGG